rnacentral:rRNA from 1 species
GACGGAGGGUGCUAGCGUUGUUCGGAAUGACUGGGCGUAAAGGGCGCGUAGGCGGCUCGUGAAGUCGGGUGUGAAAGCCCGGGGCUCAACCCCGGAACGGCAUCCGAUACUGGCGGGCUUGAGAACGGGAGAGGAGGGUGGAAUACCCAGUGUAGAGGUGAAAUUCGUAGAUAUUGGGUGGAACACCGGUGGCGAAAGCGGCUCUCUGGCCCGGAUCUGACGCUGAGGCGCGAAAGCGUGGGGAGCAAACAGG